AGUGAACGCUGGCGGUAGGCAUAACACAUGCAAGUCGAACGGCAGCACAGUAAGAGCUUGCUCUUACGGGUGGCGAGUGGCGGACGGGUGAGGAAUACAUCGGAAUCUACUUUUUCGUGGGGGAUAACGUAGGGAAACUUACGCUAAUACCGCAUACGACCUACGGGUGAAAGCAGGGGAUCUUCGGACCUUGCGCGAUUGAAUGAGCCGAUGUCGGAUUAGCUAGUUGGCGGGGUAAAGGCCCACCAAGGCGACGAUCCGUAGCUGAUCUGAGAGGAUGAUCAGCCACACUGGAACUGAGACACGGUCCAGACUCCUACGGGAGGCAGCAGUGGGGAAUAUUGGACAAUGGGCGCAAGCCUGAUCCAGCCAUACCGCGUGAGUGAAGAAGGCCUUCGGGUUGUAAAGCCCUUUUGUUGGGAAAGAAAAGCAGCAGGUGAAUACCCCGCUGUUCUGACGGUACCCAAAGAAUAAGCACCGGCUAACUUCGUG
rnacentral:rRNA from 1 species